UACGUAGGUGGCAAGCGUUGUCCGGAAUUAUUGGGCGUAAAGCGCGCGCAGGCGGUCUUUUAAGUCUGAUGUGAAAGCCCCCGGCUUAACCGGGGAGGGUCAUUGGAAACUGGGAGACUUGAGUGCAGAAGAGGAGAGUGGAAUUCCACGUGUAGCGGUGAAAUGCGUAGAGAUGUGGAGGAACACCAGUGGCGAAGGCGACUCUCUGGUCUGUAACUGACGCUGAGGCGCGAAAGCGUGGGGAGCGAACAGG
rnacentral:rRNA from 1 species